UGGGGAAUAUUGCACAAUGGAGGGAACUCUGAUGCAGCGACGCCGCGUGAACGAAGAAGGCUUUCGAGUCGUAAAGUUCUUUUAUAUGGGAAGAUAAUGACGGUACCAUAAGAAAAAGCCCCGGCUAACUACGUGCCAGCAGCCGCGGUAAUACGUAGGGGGCUAGCGUUGUCCGGAAUCACUGGGCGUAAAGGGUUCGCAGGCGGAAAUGCAAGUCAGGUGUAAAAGGCAGUAGCUUAACUACUGUAAGCAUUUGAAACUGCAUAUCUUGAGAAGAGUAGAGGUAAGUGGAAUUUUUAGUGUAGCGGUGAAAUGCGUAGAUAUUAAAAAGAAUACCGGUGGCGAAGGCGACUCUCUGGUCUGUAACUGACGCUGAGGCUCGAAAGCGUGGGUAGCAAACAGG
rnacentral:rRNA from 1 species